CUGACGGUAGUCGUAUGCUCGUCUCCGAGACUAAGCCAUGCAAGUCCAAGUACACGUCCUUGAACGACGGAAACUGCGAACGGCUCAUUAAAUCAGUUGCGAUCUACUCGGCGUUCCGCGCCGCCGGAUAACCGUAGUAAUUCUAGGGCUAAUACGUGCGAAGCGCCCGAAGCCGCGAGGCGACGGGCGUUCUCGCCGGAUGUAGGAACCGACCCGGGGACCGCCGGGGCAACCCGGCGCCCCCGAGACGGGGCGAACCACGGUGAAAUGACGGAUCGUCGGCCCCGCGCCGGCGACUCGCCGAAUGAGUUUCUGACCUAUCAACUCGAGACGGCGGGGUAGAGGCCCGCCGCGGUAACGACGGGUAACGGGGAAUCAGGGUUCGAUUCCGGAGAGGGAGCCCGAGAACGGCUACACUUCCAAGGAAGGCAGCAGGCGCGCAACUUACCCUAAUCUCGAUUCGAGGAGGUAGUGACAAGAAAUACCGAUGC
rnacentral:rRNA from 1 species